AGUUGGUAAGGUAAUGGCUUACCAAGGCUAUGACGCGUAGGGGAGGUGAGAGCCUGACCCCCACCGAUGGGACUGAGACACGGCCCAUACACCUACGGGUGGCUGCAGUCGAGAAUCUUCCGCAAUGGACGAAAGUCUGACGGAGCGACGCCGCGUGAUGGAUGAAGUGGUUCGCCAUGUAAACAUCUUUUAUGAGCUACUAAAUUUUGAAGAGCUCAUGAAUAAGGAGUUGCUAAACUCGUGCCAGCAGCAGCGGUAAUACGAGUGCUCCAAGCGUUAUCCGGAAUUAUUGGGCGUAAAGGGUGUGUAGGUUGUCCUGUUAGUCAGAUGUUAAAACUUCCCGCUUAACGGGAAAUCGGCAUUUGAAACGGCAGGUCUAGAGGAUGCGAGAGGUGAACAGAACUCAUGGUGUAGGGGUGAAAUCCGUUGAUAUCAUGGGGAAUACCAAAUGCGAAGGCAGUUCACUGGCGCACUCCUGACACUGAAACACGAAAGCGUGGGUCGCGAACUGGAUUAGAUACCCAGGUAGUCCACGCCCUAAACCAUCUUCUCUUGCUAUUCGGAGUAUCGACCCUCUGAGUGGCGUAGCUAACGCGUUAAGAGAAGCGCCUGGGUAGUACGAUCGCAAGAUUAAAACUCAAAGGAAUAGACGGGGACUUGCACAAGCAGAGGAUUAUGAGGUUUAAUUCGAUGACAAACGAAGAACCUUACCAGGGUUGGAAAUCUACACGACAUCUCUAUGAAAGUAGAGCUCCGCAAGGCGGGUAGACAGGUGUUGCAUGGCCGUCGUCAGUUCGUGGUUUGAACUGUUCCCUUAAGUGGGGUAACGAACGCAACCCACGUUGCCAGUUAUAUAUGUCUGGCGAGACUGCCCCCGCAAAAAUUUACAAAAUCUUUGUAAAUUUUUGCGGGGGAGGAAGGCGUGGAUGACGCCAGGUCAGCAUGGCCCUUUGAUACCCUGGGCCACACUCAUAAUACAAUCGCUGUUACAACACGACGCAAUAUCGCAAGAUGGAGCAAAUCGUUAGAAAAACAGCGCCAGUUCGGAUCGGAGUCUGCAACUCGACUCCGUGAAGCCGGAUUUGCUAGUAAUCGCGGGUCAGCCAUACCG
rnacentral:rRNA from 1 species